rnacentral:rRNA from 1 species
CCACACGACCGUACCGCAAACCGACACUGGUGCGCGAGAUGAGUAUUCUAAGGCGCUUGAGAGAACUCAGGAGAAGGAACUCGGCAAAUUGACACCGUAACUUCGGAAGAAGGUGUGCCUUUAGUAGGUGAACCAUUUACUUGGGGAGCCCAAUGAGGCUGCAAAAAAUCGGUGGCUGCAACUGUUUAUUAAAAACACAGCACUCUGCUAAGACGAAAGUCGACGUAUAGGGUGUGACGCCUGCCCGGUGCUGGAAGAUUAAAUGAUGGGGUGCAAGCUCUUGAUAGAAGUCCCAGUAAACGGCGGCCGUAACUAUAACGGUCCUAAGGUAGCGAAAUUCCUCCUCGGGUAAGUUCCGACCUGCACGAAUGGCGUAAUGAUGGCCACACUGUCUCCUCCUGAGACUCAGCGAAGUUGAAAUGUUUGUGAUGAUGCAAUCUCCCCGCGGAAAGACGGAAAGACCCCAUGAACCUUUACUGUAGCUUUGUAUUGGACUUUGAACAGAUCUGUGUAGGAUAGGUGGGAGGCUUUGAAGUGUGGUCGCUAGAUCCCAUGGAGCCAACGUUGAAAUACCACCCUGGUGUGUUUGAGGUUCUAACCUAGGUCCAUUAUCUGGAUCGGGGACAGUGCAUGGUAGGCAGUUUGACUGGGGCGGUCUCCUCCCAAAGUGUAACGGAGGAGUUCGAAGGUACGCUAGGUACGGUCGGACAUCGUGCUAAUAGUGCAAUGGCAUAAGCGUGCUUAACUGCGAGACUGACAAGUCGAGCAGAUGCGAAAGCAGGACAUAGUGAUCCGGUGGUUCUGUAUGGAAGGGCCAUCGCUCAACGGAUAAAAGGUACUCUGGGGAUAACAGGCUGAUACCGCCCAAGAGUUCAUAUCGACGGCGGUGUUUGGCACCUCGAUGUCGGCUCAUCCCAUCCUGGGGCUGUAGCCGGUCCCGAGGGUAUGGCUGUUCGCCAUUUAAAGAGGUACGUGAGCUGGGUUUAAAACGUCGUGAGACAGUUUGGUCCCUAUCUUCCGUGGGCGCUGCAGAUUUGAGGAAGCCUGCUCCUAGUACGAGAGGACCGGAGUGGACGAACCUCUGGUGUAUCGGUUGUCACGCCAGUGGCAUUGCCGAGUAGCUAAGUUCGGAAGAGAUAACCGCUGAAAGCAUCUAAGCGGGAAACUCGUUUCAAGAUUAGAUCUGCCGGGGCCUUGAGCCCCCCUAAAGAGUCGUUCAAGACCAGGACGUUGAUAGGUCAGGUGUGGAAGU